rnacentral:rRNA from 1 species
GAUGAACGCUGGCGGCGUGCCUAAUACAUGCAAGUCGAGCGAAUGGAUUAAGAGCUUGCUCUUAUGAAGUUAGCGGCGGACGGGUGAGUAACACGUGGGUAACCUGCCCAUAAGACUGGGAUAACUCCGGGAAACCGGGGCUAAUACCGGAUAACAUUUUGAACCGCAUGGUUCGAAAUGGAAAGGCGGCUUCGGCUGUCACUUAUGGAUGGACACGCGUCGCAUUAGCUAGUUGGUGAGGUAACGGCUCACCAAGGCAACGAGGCGUAGCCGACCUGAGAGGGUGAUCGGCCACACUGGGACUGAGACACGGCCCAGACUCCUACGGGAGGCUGCAGUAGGGAAUCUUCCGCAAUGGACGAAAGUCUGACGGAGCAACGCCGCGUGAGUGAUGAAGGCUUUCGGGUCGUAAAACUCUGUUGUUAGGGAAGAACAAGUGCUAGUUGAAUAAGCUGGCACCUUGACGGUACCUAACCAGAAAGCCACGGCUAACUACGUGCCAGCCGCCGCGGUAA